GAGGGUGUAGCUCAGUAGUAGAGUGUGUGCUUAGCGUGCACAGGGUCCUGGGUUCAGUCCCCAGCACCUCCU
rnacentral:tRNA from 1 species